UACGUAGGGGGCAAGCGUUGUUCGGAAUUACUGGGCGUAAAGAGCGUGUAGGCGGCUUGGUAGGUCCGCUGUGAAAACUCGAGGCUCAACCUCGAGAUGUCGGCGGAAACCACUUGGCUAGAGUCCGGAAGAGGAGAGUGGAAUUCCUGGUGUAGCGGUGAAAUGCGCAGAUAUCAGGAAGAACACCUAUGGCGAAGGCAGCUCUCUGGGACGGUACUGACGCUGAGACGCGAAAGCGUGGGGAGCGAACAGG
rnacentral:rRNA from 1 species